rnacentral:rRNA from 1 species
UUGAACGCUGGCGGCAUGCCUUACACAUGCAAGUCGAACGGCAGCACGGGGGCAACCCUGGUGGCGAGUGGCGAACGGGUGAGUAAUGCAUCGGAACGUGCCCAGUAGUGGGGGAUAGCCCGGCGAAAGCCGGAUUAAUACCGCAUACGUACUGAGGUAGAAAGCGGGGGACCCAAGGGCAACUGAGGGCCUCGCGCUAUUGGAGCGGCCGAUGUCGGAUUAGCUUGUUGGUGGGGUAACGGCCUACCAAGGCGACGAUCCGUAACUGGUCUGAGAGGACGACCAGUCACACUGGGACUGAGACACGGCCCAGACUCCUACGGGAGGCAGCAGUGGGGAAUUUUGGACAAUGGGCGAAAGCCUGAUCCAGCAAUGCCGCGUGUGUGAAGAGGGCCUUCGGGUUGUAAAGCACUUUUGUCCGGAAAGAAAUCCGCCUGGCUAAUACCCGGGCGGGAUGACGGUACCGGAAGAAUAAGCACCGGCUAACUACGUGC